GGAAGUUUUCAAUGGUAUUAUGAUAUAUGAGAUUACAUAAGGGGUACAUGGGUUUAUAUAGAGUUAGGAUAGGAGAAUCCUUCCUCAACUAGGAAAACUCUUAUUACUAUUCCUAUACUAAUAAGGAAAAAUAUUGAAACUUAUUCCUAUACUAAUAAGGAAAAUAUAAUAUUUUUCAACAUUUUGCAUAUACCAGUAGCAUAAUUUAUCAAGAUAUUGGCAGGAAAAUGAAAGUGAUACUGAUAGUUUAAGUUACUUUGUAGAACUGGGACCAACU
rnacentral:lncRNA from 1 species